UCACAAGAUCAUGCACAAACUUUAUUAUAUUCUCGUUAAAUGAAUGUUCGAGGAUACAAAUCAACAAUCAAAAUCUAAGAUCGAUAAAUAAUCUCAAAUUCUUUCUGAUAGAUAAAGAAGUUUAUACUUCAGAUCUAAGAGAAAAGAAAUGUAUUGCUAAAUAUUCCAAUCCAAGCUCAAGAAUCGAUGAUCUACUCAUCUUGACUUAGGAUGCUAAAAUUUUUUUUAGCAUGAUAGAUAGGAGAACUACUUACGAGAAUCACAUAACG
rnacentral:lncRNA from 1 species